rnacentral:rRNA from 1 species
ACCCCUAUGGGGGGCAGCAGUAGGGAAUCUUCCACAAUGGGCGAAAGCCUGAUGGAGCAACGCCGCGUGGGUAAAGAAGGUCUUCGGAUCGUAAAACCCUGUUGUUAGAGAAGAAAGUGCGUGAGAGUAACUGUUCACGUUUCGACGGUAUCUAACCAGAAAGCCACGGCUAACUACGUGCCAGCAGCCGCGGUAAUACGUAGGUGGCAAGCGUUAUCCGGAUUUAUUGGGCGUAACGGGAACGCAGUCGGUCUUUUAAGCCUGAU